AUGGAGUCACGCACCUCUGUUCUCAUGUCCCUUCUUUUCUUGGUGUCUGGUGUAUGUGCAGAUAUUGUGAUGACCCAGUCCCCAUCCUCACUGGUUGUGUCAGUAGGAGACAAGGUCACCAUCAGCUGCAGGUCCAGUCAGAGUCUUUUAAACAUUGGAACCCAGAAGAACUACUUGAAUUGGUACCAGCAGAAACCAGAGAAAUCUCCUAAAUUGCUGAUCUACUAUGCAUACACUCGGGACACUGGGGUCCCUGAUCGUUUCAUAGGCAGUGGAUCUGGGACAGAUUUCACUCUUACUAUUAACAGCGUUCAGGCUGAAGACCUGGCAGUUUAUUACUGUCAGCAGGAUUUCCUCUAUUCCACAGUGCUUCAGCCCCCAACACAAACCUCCUUUGAGAGUCUCACCAGCUGCCUUCACAGCCUGGACAUACACACUUCCCAUUUCUGCCUGAGCACCCAAACUUUCAUGAAACACUUAUGA